AGGGCCCUUCCACGCCAGGCAUAGCUGACUACAUUCUCGCCUGAAGGGCGAAGCAGGACCCUUAGGAUUUCUCAUAGGUGUCCUCGCUGCCUGCGCCCAUUUUCAACCUUUUUUAUACCUGAAAUGCCAAAGAGAGUCACCUGAAUUGUGCCACUUGAAUUGUGGCCAGCCUGAAUUGAAAUAUGCUCCAAAUGCACACCCUGUUUUGGAAACUUAGAGAGGCGGAAUGUAAAAUGUUAAUCAUUUAAAAGUAUAAAAGUGUAAAAAAAAAAAGUAUAUUUUGUUGAAAUGCCCUGUGGAUAAAUUGAGCUAUCUAAAAUAUAUUCUUAAGACUGA